rnacentral:rRNA from 1 species
GACGAACGCUGGCGGUGCGCUUAACACAUGCAAGUCGAACGGAAAGGCCUGCUUUCCCUUGUGGAUUGCGGGUACUCGAGUGGCGAACGGGGGAGUAACACGGGAGUUAUCUGUCCCCAACUGGGGUAUAAGCCUGGGAAACUGUGUCUAAUCCCCGAUAGGACUGCAGGGUGGUGCCUGUGGUGGAAAACGAUUUUCUAGUGGUUGGGGAUGAGCUCGCGGCCUAUCAGCUUGGUGGUGGGGUAAUGGACUACCAAGGCGGCGACGGGUAGCCGGCCUGAGAGGGUGGACAGCCGCAUUGGGACUGAGAUACGGCCCAGACUGCUACGGGCGGCAGCCGUGGGGAAAAUAGCACCAUGGGCGGGAGCCUGAUGCACCGACGCCGCGUGGGGGGUGACGGCGUUCGGGUUGUAAUCUCCUUUGGACGAAGAGGAGGCGAUCUGGUUCGAAGGGUGGUGACGGUAGUGGUAGAAGAAGCACCGGCUAACUACGUG